CUGAGUGCUACGAACCACUAUAACUCUCCUCUCUGUUCCCAGACUGAGUGCUCGACCACUAACUCUCCUCUCUGUUCCCAGACUGAGUGCUACGACCACUAACUCUCCUCUCUGUUCCCAGACUGUGAGUGCUACGGCCACUCUAACCCGCUGCAGCUACAUAGACUACCUGAACAUUGUGACGUGCGUCAGCUGCAAGCACAAUACCAGAGGACAGAACUGCCCAGCACUGCAGACUGGGCUACUUCAAGAACGCGUCCGCCGAACUAGACGACGAGGGUGGUCUGCAUCGGUCAGUCACAAUGUGUGUUGUGGUGUGUGUAUUUAUUGCGAAUAUCCUUGGCCAUAUGUGUGUGUUACAAAACAGUAUGAAAUGUUGAUCCACCAAGACGUCUUGAUCAGAAAUACAGUUUAG
rnacentral:lncRNA from 1 species